AUUAUGAAAGCAAAAAAUUAUGGCGGUAUUUUAAGCUUUUCAGAGGAAUUUGCUCUUUAAUGGAUAAAACACCUAAAUCUUACUUAAAUUUGUUAAUUCAAUUUGUAUACCACUAUAAAAACAAUUUAUAACUUUAAUUGUUUAAAUUUAUUAAAUUAAAAUAUAUUAAGUCAAGGUGCAGUAAAAAUUUAAGAAUGAAGUGAAUUACAUUACUCUUUAGAGAAAUAAAUUUAAAAUAAUAUUUAGGAUUUGAAAGUAAAAUUAAAAUAGGAUGUUUGU
rnacentral:rRNA from 1 species